rnacentral:rRNA from 1 species
UACGUAGGGGCCAAGCGUUGUUCGGAUUUACUGGGCGUAAAGGGCGCGUAGGCGGCUUGACAAGUCACUUGUGAAAUCUCCGGGCUUAACUCGGAACGGCCAAGUGAAACUGUCAUGCUAGAGUGCAGAAGGGGCAAUCGGAAUUCCCGGUGUAGCGGUGAAAUGCGUAGGGAUCGGGAGGAACAUCCGUGGCGAAGGCGGCCAUCUGGAUCAACACUGACGCUGAGGCACGAAAGCGUGGGGAGCAAACAGG